UAUUAUUAGAGGCACAACAUUUAUGUUUGAACUAGGUCAGAAUCGGAAGAUAGCAGCCUUAAUAGCCUCUAAAUGUGUGUGCUUUUUUUUGUAGGUGAU
rnacentral:SRP_RNA from 1 species